UAAGAAAACUGAGGCACAGAAAAGUCACACAAGAUUAUCGAGGUCAACACAGAGAACAGUGGAACCGGCACCUGACCCCAGGCAGGCGGGACCUUCAUGACCACACCACACCGCCACAGGGAACAGGCAGGGAAAACAAUGGGUCUAGCAGGACAAAAAUGACAUUUCCCAGAGUUUCUUGCUGUUUGGAUCUGGCUGCAGUUUCAGUUUUGCCAAGAAGAGGCAUUUCCAUGAGCUCUGGACAGUGGCAGAGAGGCAGAGGUGCUCCACUGCAGUGUGCUGGACGGUCCGCGGGCUCCUGCCAACGUGAGGAUUUGCAGCAACUGGUAUAUCCAUGGUCUUGUCACCAGCUUCCUGAAUGCGGGGCAGCUGGAGCCACACUAGUGGUCCUUCCUUGCAGGGGCAGCAGCUGUCUCCUGGUCUCAGAAUCACAGCUGUGGGGAUGUGACCUUAAACCAAAAGUCUAGCGGUGGUCCUAACCUUCUCUUGUCUAGGCCCUCUGAUCCCUCUGUAAGUCGCUAUUUCCCUUAUUAAAUCUCUUUCUGCUGGA
rnacentral:lncRNA from 1 species